AUGACUUCCACUUGCCGCUGGUAAUGCAGACCCCUCCUCGGAAGCAACAGGAACAACCUCGCAAAUUGCGGAUGGGUAAAAUACUCUCUCCGCCCUCCUAAGGUCAGACGAGAUAUCAACCCCCGCUUGGUUGAGGGCUUCAUGCCAAGUCUCAUAACAAAAGCGCCCGCACACUACAGGAAUUUGAGCUUUGAGGGUGGCUUCAGUCUUGGACACCCCUUCGGCAAAAGCCUCCUCUUUCGCCUGCCCUGUAGAGCGCUCAGCGUAUAUUCUCACAAACACCGCCUCGUCUUUGGCCUUCACAGCCUCGUCCCCGGCAUACUCGGCAAUACCCCUUGUGCUGACUGCCUCGGCCAACUUUUUCUUCAGGGCGGCGAUGUCCUCUUUGGUAGUUCGUAGGUGGCCCUCGACAUCCUACCAUCGCUUGGUCUGAUCCUUGGCCAGCUUCGUAGCCGUGGUUAGGUCAGGGGCCGCAUUACCUUUGGCCCACUCUUGCUCCCAAGUUCAGCCAUGUCGGCGGGAAGGAGAAGAGACUUCUCCAGGGCGUCGGCCACGAGGACCCAUAGGAAUCAAAAUGCUCCUCCCCGUCCGAGGGAACGGGCAGCAGGAUUUUGAGGGGCUAUUGUGGGGCCCGUAGGCCUGGUAGACUGGGCCCAUCUUAGAUUUGACCCAAGGUCCAUGCCGAGGAGGGAUGAGCAUCCUAGGCUAGUGUAUGAAGACUUAUGCUUUUUUGGACCCUGCCAAGGACAUCCCUGUCCUCGGCGUACUGAGGCUUAUUUCAGGUGGGGGACAGGCCCAGAGCAGGUUGUCACCUCCACCCUAAAUGCGCUCAUCUAACCCCUCUGGCCGCAUUAAUGGGGAUGUAACCCCUUGACAGGGUAACAUUGACCAUUGCGAACCACUGGAGUACUGAUAAGACCUCUGAUGGGACGGACGAUCAGAGGGAGGGCGAAUGGAUGAUCAACAGAAGGAAGAAUGAGAUAGGAGGAGGGGAACUAUAUAAGAGGGGCGAGCAAAGCAGUGAAAAUGGGGGGCAGGAGAAAAGAAGAAAAGGGGAGAAGGAACCUUCUCGGACAAAUGCCGAGGAGCUACCUUUAGUUGUAAAUCGGGUUCACUCCCCUUCAAUGAAAAAAAGGGCUUGUGUUCCGUUGCUAGUCUGUUAGGGCCUAACCCUUCGUCUCACUCUCUAGAAAUGUAUUGUUGGGGAACCUUUCUAAACUGAGUCCCUACACACAAUUUUGAAUAUUAAAAUUUCAAAUUUUGCACUAACAUUAUGUUCAAAAAACAAUAUUUUAGUUAAAUCGCAUGGUUGUUCAAAAAAAAAAUAAAAAUUCACGACUUUGAUAACCCAAAAUGAAAACAAACCUGAAGUUAAGGAUCAAAAGAGUAAUUCAGUAAAAAAAAAAAAAAAAAAAAAAAAAAUUUAGUAUUAUAGUUUAUUAAAAAAAAAAAAAAAAAAAAAAAAACCCUUUAGUAUUAUAGUUUAUUACGUCGAAAAUACAAUGACAUAACACCUCGUUUAGUCGCCUUUAAUAUAUAGAAACGGAGCCCUUUAUGUACACUGAAAGUUGAAAACCCAUCUACAAAUCUCAAAGCAGCACAUCCCCUCGAUUUCCCUCCCUUCAAUAGCCAAUCUCAAAUGGAACAACCACCACCACAACAGCAACAAACCCCCACUCCCACUCCCACCACUACUACCGCCACCGCCACCGCCACCGCCACCGACUCCUCCGCCGCCGCCGCCACAACCACUACAACAACCGCCACCACAUCUUCUCAACCUUCUGAGUCUCCGCCACUAUCAACUUCACAACCACCACCACAGCCACCCUCGUCAACUCCAACCCCUUCACCAAUCCCUCCCUCCCCUAACCCUAACCCUAACCCUACUCUCACUCCCACCCAAAACGCUAAGCCCUCUAUCCCAAGCCCUUCACAACCCCAACCGCAACCUAGGCCUCUCACUUCGUUUGCUAGACCACCACAACCGCCGCCGCCACAACAGCAGCAGCCACACUUUUCGCACUUCUCGUCGCUCCCUUCUUCGUCUUCUCCGGCCGGGUCUCCCUCCAUCCCCGCCCAGAGGGGCGGCAUUGCUAUUGGCGUUCCCGCGCACCACCUGAACGCUGCCGCUUCUCCUCAACCCGCGCCCUUCUCUUCCUCCUUCGGUCACCACUUCACUGGCCUGGCCCGCUCCGCCGUCAACGUGCCCGAAUCCGUCUCUAGUUCCAAUGCUUCUCAGGUUGGCAUUUCCUCAAACACUUUGUCUUCAUUCAAUUUCAAUGCCUUUUUUUCACAUUGUUAGGAGAGUUGUACUAAAACCCAUGUUUGAAUUGUUGUGUAAUGGUUAGGCUAGACCAACGAUGCAAGGAAUGCCGGGAAUUGGGAUGCUGGGAUCGCUUGGUUCAAGCUCGCAACUGCGGCCAGCUGGGAUUUCGGCACACCAUCCACAGAGACCAGUUCAGUCAUCUCUUAGACCACAAUCGUCCCCAACUAACCAGGCCCCUACUUCCCAAGUCAGUAAUUGUUUUUUCACUAAAUGGUUUAUGAUAGUUAUCAACAAUGUUUGUAUCUGCACGAGUGCAUAUGUGUGUCUGUACAGAGCAAAGGUUUUUAAGAAUGGUUGCUGCUAUUAAGACCUUGUUCUAAAUAUGGUGUUCAUUACUAAAAGCCUUUGCAUUUUGUAUAAUAAAACAAAGAGAUGAAGUGGUAGAUUGAACCCUUCCACUUAUGACUCUGUGUCAGUGAUUCUACUAUUAUUAGUGAUAUAAUAAUGAUUAGGGGAUAUAAUUCACAUGGAUAUUGUAAGUAUCGCAUAGGUUGCUUUAAUGGUAGUAUUUACAUUUUCUCUUUCACUCAUAGCAUGGGCGUAGAAGCAGACUCUAGAGGUGCGACUAAUUGAGUUGAGUAAUNAUUGUUUUAUAGAUCGUUCUGCAAAUCCCUUUUUUUAAUACUUGUUUUAGUUGUUUUUUGGUUUAUACUUCUUUUUAUCGAACUCAGACUAUAUUCUUUUGAACUAUAAUAUUGACUAUUGAGGUUGUGGCUUUUAAGCUUUUGGAGUGCUUGUGAAUUCAUGGGUGUAUGAUGACAUGUAAAGGCCACAAUCUGUUUUAACAAAUAUUCCUUAUCCUUAUUUGAAAUUGUUAGAGUUGAUUUUGUGACAGUGUUGGAGUUAGAUAUUUUGCUUUACCAAUAAGAAUUCCAAAAUUGGAGUGCAGUGAAGGUGGCUUGUUAUAGCAGAAGUUGGAAGCAUGUGUUAAAACUUGAGUCAUGAGGGUUCAUAAGUUUUUCAGUAUUCACUUCAAAAAGGCAUCCAUUGUGUUCCCAACAGAAAUUAGAAAGCUCACUGUAGGAGUAAUUUUAUAUUUCUGAAUUGAUCUAUAAAAUCUUUAGAAUUUAAGAAGAUCCAAGGAUGAAGCUAAGAAUAAGAAAGGUGUUGUGAGCUCAGAAAUUAAGUAAUGAUUGGGUAUUCUGUAAAUCAUAUAAUUUAGCCUAAGUUGCAGAUAUUUCCUGAGAUCUUUAGGUAAUUUCGAAAUGGUUUCAUUGUUUGUGUCAGAGUUUGUUAGACGACCUGCUGCACCUGCCACACUCAGGGAAUUUCAAGUUACAAGGAUGAUAAGACUGACGAAAUGUCGUUUUGUAUAGAAAACACAGAUGCGGGUAUGGGUACAACAAAGUGACACGGAAAUUAUGAUAAUAAUGACAUGACACGGCGGGAUACAUAUAUUAAUUAGUUAUAAAAUAUUUUUAAAUAUGAUUAAGUAUUAAUUUUUUCAUAAAAUGUUAAACACACAUCAAUUUAGGAGCAAUAAUGGAUAAUAAAGUGAAUUCAUGACUAUGAAAUGAUGUUUAGAAAUUAGAAUAUAAACAAAUAAUAAGAUCCCUAAAUAAAAGAUAACUAGAUAAGUGUUUAAGAUAACUAGGACAUAACACGCACCAAAGGGGGGGGGGGGGGAGAGAGAGAGAGAGAUUGACCAACAGAGAGGGANGGACAUAACACGCACCAAAGGGGGGGGGGGGGAGAGAGAGAGAGAGAGAUUGACCAACAGAGAGGGAAAGGGAGAGAUUGACUGAGAAAGAGAGUGAGAAAGAGAGAGCUUACCGAUAUGCAAUAACCUUGUUGGCCUCGCCAUUGGUGCUGACAGAGAGAGUGAGAGAGAGGGAGACUAGGGUUAGGAAUUAAGUUUUGUUCUAAAUUCAAAUCGCUGCAUUUCAGGCCCCAAAUUUAUUAUUUUUUUUUAUUUUUUAUUUUUUUUAAAUUUCGGCAUGAGCUGUGUCCGGGAAUUUUUUUGUUUUUCUUUUUAAAAAAGGAAAUAGCUGGGACGUGCGUGCAGCGGUGUCCCAGAUGUGUGUUCAACACGUGUUCGACACCAAAUUGAAGUGUGGUGUCAUUCAUCCUUAGUGCAAUGACAAUUGCUGGGAGUCUUCUAUCUGUUCCUCUGAUCUGUUGUAACAGAAUGUAAUUAGUUAAGCUCAAUUUGUUAAGUCAGUCAUCACUUUGUUAAAGGGAUUUUAUGAUUGUUGUAACCAAUCCUAGAGUUGGUGCUAGAUUAGAGCUGUAUAUAAGCAUCAAUAGCUGUACAAAUCCGGUAUGGAAGAAUCAUGAAGAUUGUUCAAGGAUAAUAAUCUGACUAUGUUGUAGAAUAAUAUUGUGAUGCUUCUAUCGUUGAGAUGAUGUGGUAUUUACUAAAAAAAUGUUGGUAAAUAUUACCUGUGUUGCUUGCAUAUGCCUUCUAUAACUAAAUUAAUUGAUUGUUUACUUAUAUGAAAAAAUUUAGUGAAAAGAAGGUCUUGUGCCUGUUCUAUAUGUUUGUUUAUUUCUUUUACUUUCUGCAGAAUCUUCAAGGGCAUAGCCUUAUGAGACUCCAACCAGUGGGAUCUCCUGGUUCUCCAUCACCAAAUACCUCGCAAAAUAUGCAAACUGUUAAUCAGCCAUGGCUGUCAUCUGGAUCACAAGGGAAGCCUCCUUUACCAUCUCCUUCAAAUAGGCAUCAGGUGAAUUCACAAAUGCAGCAACGAGCACAUCUUCCUCAACAACAGCAUCAUCCAGUGCCAACAGGUUCACAGCAACAACAUAUGCCAUCUUUGCAACAGCAACAGCAGCAGCAACAGCCUACUCCAUCAAGUCAGUUGCAGGAGCAUUAUGGGCAACAAUUUCCACCAUCAAGGGUCCCUCAAGCUGUAACCCAUCAACCACAAAUAACAAGGGUCCAGGGCUCAGGAAAUCAGAAGCCUUCCUCUCUUGCAAUGGUGCAGCCUAACACAGUCCAGGCUGUGGCCCAGAAUAGAACAGCUAUUGCGGAAAUUGAUGAAUCUUGUAACAGGAUUCUUGGCAAAAGAAGCAUUCAUGAGCUAGUCAGCCAGGUGAGCCAUAUUGGGCUUCUUUGCUAUUGGUUUACUGAAAAAUCUUGGAUUAUUAAUAAUGAAUAUUUUUUUUUUGCUCUCAAGUCUGAUCAGUUUAUUGCAAAGACAGAACCCAUCUAACUUUGUUUUUACUAAUAGAACCAUAUGGACAAACAUUUGUUGUUGCAAGUUUUUGAUGAAACAUUAACCUUAAUGUGUCUAGUUCAACUUUGACAUCUUAUGAGUAUGAAUGUAAAAAAACUGUCCUGUCUGCUUAGUUUAAGUCUUAUAUCAGUUUGGAGUGUAUGAGUGAGUUUCUAAUGUGUUCAUAAACUAUAAUUCUAUUGCAGUAGUUGGAUAUAUAACACACAGCCUAAUUCUUGCCUCUCUUAAAACCCAAGUCACUUAGCUGUACCCAUCUUUUUUUGGGUGGGGGUAGAACUUGUGUUGAGGGCCAUGAUUUUUUUUUUAUUACUUAUUUUAAAUCUUUUUUGACUUCUGCUUGUACAGAUUGAUUCAUCAGAGAAUUUGGAUCCUGAAGUUGAAGACAUUCUUGUUGAUAUUGCAGAGGAUUUUGUUGAUUCUGUAAGUAACUGAGCCAGUUCUUUUGUGUUUCCUCCUUCUCAUGUUCAGUGUACCUUGCAGUUUUUAGUGCUUUGUGACUAGAUGAAUCUUGCCUAAUUAUUCAGUUGGGUUUAGAUUUGCACUUUUUCCUUCUUAGUGUGUGAUGUGGCAAGGACAGCUUAAGACCUAGUGUAGGUGUGAUAUGUACCAGCCAAAGAUGCCACCUUUCAAUUAAUUUGAAGCUUAGAAAUGUUUAAGAAUAAAAUUUGCAACAAAACAAGAUUAUAAGUUUAUAACAAAUGGAAAAUAAUAUGAUCAAAGUUGGAACAAUAAAAUAUCAAUUUCUAGGCUUACUUAUCAAUAUAUAUAUAUAUAUAUCAAUUUCUAGGCUUACUUAUCAAUAUAUAUAUAUAUAUAUCAAUUUCUAGGCUCAAAGACUCGAACAAUUUUUAGAUCUGAAAUUUCAUAAAAUAAAUAAAAGAGCAUUGCAACAACUUAAAAAAGCUAUUUGUACUAGCCUUUAGUAACCCUAGGAUUCUAGCCUUCCAUCUUCAAUGUAACAAUUAAGUCCUAACCAUCCAAUUUCAUAAAAAGUCACUUGUCACAUGACCUUUUAAAAUGCUAAAUGCAUAAUAAUAAACAAAACAUAACAUAGAUUAAUAAAAGACUAGUCUUGUGAUAGCAAACAAGUCAACAAAAUGGACGAAUGGAUCUGCUUCCUUAGGCUUAAUUCUCUUACAUCAGUGUGUAAGUUCAUGAUAGCUCAGAAAAGGUGUUUAUAAACCUAGCUUCAAGUGAUUGGCAUAAGACUUCUGUUGGGCAGUGGUGUAUUCUUGAAUUUUAUUUCUAAGCAUUUUAUACUCCAGCUGUGACUGAGAACAUCCCAUGAGACUGUUGUGAUUCUCUAGGUGAUUCUUUUUAAAUCUAUAGUCGUACUUACACUUGCACUUAUGUUUUAUCCUUUGAUUAGAUUACAACAUUUGGUUGCUCGUUGGCCAAGCAUCGAAAAUCAACAACAUUGGAAGCAAAAGACAUACUUUUACAUCUUGGUUAGUUACGUAGGGGAAUUCCUCUGUGUAGUGUUAACUUCGGUUUAUGUACUUUUAACACUUAAUCUUCUUUUACUCGUUGAUUUGAUAUAGAAAGAAACUGGAAUAUUACACUUCCUGGUUUUGGUGGUGAUGAGAUUAAGAGCUACAGAAAACCGGUAAGAAUUAUCAUUGACCGUUUACCUCUAUCUAGAUGGCAGUAGGGCAAUCUAUCUACUGGUUGUGGUGAAGAUGCUUUUCAUACUUAAAAAAAAUAUAUAAGAAAAGAAAAUUUCUUUAACAUAUUGCCCUUUGAUGGUUUUGCAGCUUACAAAUGAUAUUCACAAGGAGCGUCUUGUAGCCGUAAGUUUAUUGCCUCUUUUGUAUUAACUUUUAUAGGCCUCCCUCAAAUGUAUGAAUUUUUUUGUGUGUGUAUACUUUUAAAGAUAUCUACGAAUGUUAGUGGACUCUCAUUGAUGUUAUGCUAAGCUAAAUUGAAUCUUGAGUUUUUUUUUUGAUAAACUGAAUCUUGAGUUGUUAGAUCAAUAUUUGUAUCAGUUUUCGAAGGAGUCUUCAUCAUUGCUUCUAUUUUUGGCAGAUAAAGAAAUCAAUGGUAGCAACUGAGACAGCAACCAAAAUUUCUUCUGGACAAGCUGCUGGAAAUGCAAAGGGUAAUCUGGCCAAGGCACCUGCCAAUCCAUUGGCUCCCCAAAUUUAAAAAGUGCGUGAAGCAUUUAUUGAUACUGCUGGACUUGAGAACUGUUUCUGAUAAAGAAGGUAUGACAAAUAUUUAGAGAUGCAUAAUGCCUAAAACUAUGGAGGCAUGUAUUGAAUCAGCAUAAAACUAGCAUGUUUAUCUGUUUUCAUGCAUUUAGACAGUUAGGAAUAAAGAAGUUCCUGUUUCUUUGAGGUAAUGUCAUGGCAUGAUGUGCUUAUUCUCUUGACAUUUUCAACAGUGUUUUUAUUGGAUGGAAGUCCAUCUCUCUUAGUUUUUAAACUCCCAAACCUCACAUAGGGAUCGCCGCUUGCUCCUCUAUGGUUUUGAAGAAGUCCUUGUAACAAGGUUGAAUACGUUGAACCUGAGUUACUUUGCGUAUAGGGAGUUAUUAUUAGGGUAAAUUUGUGGUCAUAUCAUCUUGAAGUAAUAUUACAAAGAUACUAAACUGCAACAUGGUUUAUGUAUAUAGAGAGUUUAGAUGCAUGUCUUACAGCAGAAAGUGGUAUGCUAGUUUAUGUAUUUAAAGGUUUAUAAUCUCUGGCAUCUAUCAGUACAGUUCACUUUGUGCAGGCCAAACUUUGCAAAGAGAAGGCAAUGUUACAGUGGAAUGGAUCCAAGAUUUAUUGCCUGCCUUGGUGGACAUCCAUAUUUAUGAAUCUUCUUUAUGUUGAUCUCUGA
rnacentral:sRNA from 1 species